UGGGGAAUCUUGGACAAUGGGGGCAACCCUGAUCCAGCGACGCCGCGUGAGUGAAGAAGGCCUUAGGGUUGUAAAGCUCUUUCACCGGGGAGGAUGAUGACGUUACCCGGAGAAGAAGCACCGGCUAACUCCGUGCCAGCAGCCGCGGUAAGACGGAGGGUGCUAGCGUUGUUCGGAAUCACUGGGCGUAAAGGGCGCGUAGGCGGCUUCAUCAGUCAGAUGUGAAAGCCCGGGGCUCAACUCCGGAACUGCAUUUGAUACUGUGAAGCUUGAGGUCGAGAGAGGAGAGUGGAAUACCCAGUGUAGAGGUGAAAUUCGUAGAUAUUGGGUGGAACACCAGUGGCGAAAGCGGCUCUCUGGCUCGAAUCUGACGCUGAGGCGCGAAAGCGUGGGGAGCAAACAGGAUUAGAUACCCCCGUAGUCC
rnacentral:rRNA from 1 species